rnacentral:lncRNA from 1 species
UUUCUCUAACAAUUUUCUCCCUUUGACUAAUCUUUCCUUAUUUUCCUGGGUUUCUCCCUAUAUAAUUGCUUAUUAAAUUACCAAUAAUCAGAUUAAGGAAGGAAGCUAGUUUAUGUAACUGCAAUUUGUGUUUUGUCCAUCGCGUGGCUGCGCAUUCAAAUAUUUGGUACAAGUGUUGCUUUGCAAGAUGGUAUUUUUUGCGUGCUAGAAUUCUGAAGGAUUUAGAUAGCUUUACAGAGAGUUGUUUUCUAUGUUUUUUUCUGUACGGUUUUUCCAUUUCUCCAAUGAUGGAUGUAGUUGACUUUUGGUUGGUCUACAUAACAAAUUUAGAUAUGAGAUAUUUAGAUAACUUUAGAUUGACUUUUUGGUUCAUUGUUUUUUCAUGGUUCUCCCUUUUUUUUUUUUU